rnacentral:rRNA from 1 species
UACGAAGGGGGCUAGCGUUGCUCGGAAUCACUGGGCGUAAAGGGUGCGUAGGCGGGUCUUUAAGUCAGGGGUGAAAUCCUGGAGCUCAACUCCAGAACUGCCUUUGAUACUGAAGAUCUUGAGUUCGGGAGAGGUGAGUGGAACUGCGAGUGUAGAGGUGAAAUUCGUAGAUAUUCGCAAGAACACCAGUGGCGAAGGCGGCUCACUGGCCCGAUACUGACGCUGAGGAGCGAAGGCGUGGGGAGCAAACAGG